rnacentral:rRNA from 1 species
AACAGGAUUAGAUACCCUGGUAGUCCAUGCCGUAAACGAUGUCUACUAGCCGUUGGGGCCUUUGAGGCUUUAGUGGCGCAGCUAACGCGAUAAGUAGACCGCCUGGGGAGUACGGUCGCAAGACUAAAACUCAAAUGAAUUGACGGGGGCCCGCACAAGCGGUGGAGCAUGUGGUUUAAUUCGAUGCAACGCGAAGAACCUUACCUGGCCUUGACAUACUAAGAACUUUCCAGAGAUGGAUUGGUGCCUUCGGGAACUUAGAUACAGGUGCUGCAUGGCUGUCGUCAGCUCGUGUCGUGAGAUGUUGGGUUAAGUCCCGCAACGAGCGCAACCCUUUUCCUUAUUUGCCAGCGGGUUAUGCCGGGAACUUUAAGGAUACUGCCAGUGACAAACUGGAGGAAGGCGGGGACGACGUCAAGUCAUCAUGGCCCUUACGGCCAGGGCUACACACGUGCUACAAUGGUCGGUACAAAGGGUUGCUACCUCGCGAGAGGAUGCUAAUCUCAAAAAGCCGAUCGUAGUCCGGAUCGCAGUCUGCAACUCGACUGCGUGAAGUCGGAAUCGCUAGUAAUCGCGGAUCAGAAUGCCGCGGUGAAUACGUUCCCGGGCCUUGUACACACCGCCCGUCACACCAUGGGAGUUUGUUGCACCAGAAGUAGGUAGUCUAACCGCAAGGAGGACGCUUACCACGGUGUGGCCGAUGACUGGGGUGAAGUCGUAACAAGGUAACC